rnacentral:rRNA from 1 species
UACGUAGGGUGCGAGCGUUGUCCGGAAUUACUGGGCGUAAAGAGCUCGUAGGUGGUUUGUCGCGUUGUCCGUGAAAACUCACAACUCAAUUGUGGGCGUGCGGGCGAUACGGGCAGACUGGAGUACUGCAGGGGAGACUGGAAUUCCUGGUGUAGGCGGUGGAAUGCGCAGAUAUCAGGAGGAACACCGGUGGCGAAGGCGGGUCUCGUGGGCAGUAACUGACGCUGAGGAGC